CUCUCCUACAAAGGUAUGUCUGUGGUUCCUAUCUUUGGACAUGGAAGAACUGGAGGUAAAAAAAAAAAAAAAAAUAGACUUAGAGAAGUCUUGGGCCAACUCGCUCUCUGCAGGGCUAACAAUCAACCCUUCUCACAAAA
rnacentral:snoRNA from 1 species